GAGCGAUGGAGACAGGCAGAGACACACAGACUGGGAACGCCACUCACAUGAUGUUACGGGCAGGUGGACUUGAAGUAAAAGUCACAGUAAUGUUCCUGAACGGUACAAAAAAGAUCAGUAAGGUCAAGAUUAGCAAGUGCCUUCAUUAGAUUGUGAUGUCGCUUUUUCUUCAUCAUUGCAGCUGCUGUCAAAAAGUGGUACAGCAAGGACCAGAACAUAUUUCCUGUUCCAUGGCAGAACACCUUUUAACAAGCCCCUGGACAGCUUGGCAGUGGGGGCUACAUAUCCAACCCAAAACAGUUAGG